UACGAAGGGGGCUAGCGUUGCUCGGAAUCACUGGGCGUAAAGGGUGCGUAGGCGGGUCUUUAAGUCAGGGGUGAAAUCCUGGAGCUCAACUCCAGAACUGCCUUUGAUACUGAGGAUCUUGAGUUCGGGAGAGGUGAGUGGAACUGCGAGUGUAGAGGUGAAAUUCGUAGAUAUUCGCAAGAACACCAGUGGCGAAGGCGGCUCGCUGGCCCGAUACUGACGCUGAGGCACGAAAGCGUGGGGAGCAAACAGGG
rnacentral:rRNA from 1 species